CAGCCGCCACGGGAAAACGGAGGGGGCUAGCGUUGUUCGGAAUUACUGGGCGUAAAGCGCACGUAGGCGGCUUGGUAAGUUAGAGGUGAAAGCCUGGAGCUCAACUCCGGAAUUGCCUUUAAGACUGCCGAGCUAGUAGGUGAGAGAGGUAAGUGGAAUUCCGAGUGUAGAGGUGAAAUUCGUAGAUAUUCGGAAGAACACCAGUGGCGAAGGCGGCUUACUGGCUCAUUCUAGACGCUGAGGUGCGAAAGCGUGGGGGAGCAAACAGGAUUAGAUACCCCUGUAGUCCCUGUCUCUUAUA
rnacentral:rRNA from 1 species